GUAUUAAUUGCAUAUUAUUGCAAGAGACAUUCUACACUGUAUCGAGUUUGUGUGAAAACGCAAGCCCCCUCCUGGAUCGAUUCGAUCCCGAAGGGCACCCACGCGGUGGUGCACAAAAGGGUGAGAUGGAUUUUAUGUGAGAGGACGCACUCCGGCGUGCACGACUUUUGUGUCUCAAAAAGUCAGCGACAGCCCUCGCACGCCUCACACAUGUUUGUACGAUAAUGAUCCUUCCGCAGGUUCACCUACGGAAA
rnacentral:misc_RNA from 1 species